rnacentral:rRNA from 1 species
UGUGUGUUAGUGGAAGCGUCUGGAAAGGCGCGCGAUACAGGGUGACAGCCCCGUACACAAAAAUGCACAUGCUGUGAGCUCGAUGAGUAGGGCGGGACACGUGGUAUCCUGUCUGAAUAUGGGGGGACCAUCCUCCAAGGCUAAAUACUCCUGACUGACCGAUAGUGAACCAGUACCGUGAGGGAAAGGCGAAAAGAACCCCGGCGAGGGGAGUGAAAAAGAACCUGAAACCGUGUACGUACAAGCAGUGGGAGCCUCUUUUAUGGGGUGACUGCGUACCUUUUGUAUAAUGGGUCAGCGACUUAUAUUCUGUAGCAAGGUUAACCGAAUAGGGGAGCCGAAGGGAAACCGAGUCUUAACUGGGCGUUAAGUUGCAGGGUAUAGACCCGAAACCCGGUGAUCUAGCCAUGGGCAGGUUGAAGGUUGGGUAACACUAACUGGAGGACCGAACCGACUAAUGUUGAAAAAUUAGCGGAUGACUUGUGGCUGGGGGUGAAAGGCCAAUCAAACCGGGAGAUAGCUGGUUCUCCCCGAAAGCUAUUUAGGUAGCGCCUCGUGAAUUCAUCUCCGGGGGUAGAGCACUGUUUCGGCAAGGGGGUCAUCCCGACUUACCAACCCGAUGCAAACUGCGAAUACCGGAGAAUGUUAUCACGGGAGACACACGGCGGGUGCUAACGUCCGUCGUGAAGAGGGAAACAACCCAGACCGCCAGCUAAGGUCCCAAAGUCAUGGUUAAGUGGGAAACGAUGUGGGAAGGCCCAGACAGCCAGGAUGUUGGCUUAGAAGCAGCCAUCAUUUAAAGAAAGCGUAAUAGCUCACUGGUCGAGUCGGCCUGCGCGGAAGAUGUAACGGGGCUAAACCAUGCACCGAAGCUGCGGCAGCGACGCUUAUGCGUUGUUGGGUAGGGGAGCGUUCUGUAAGCCUGUGAAGGUGUGCUGUGAGGCAUGCU